UGGGCAGCGGUCGGACGGGGCCCUUCCUUGCGUAGGCAGCUGGGUUCUCUCCCCUUUUCUUGGGCCCCAAAAUGGGACUAGGCCAAGCUGGCCUCCGCUCCAGGAAGUCGAGCGCACGUGGAGAAGCCCGUCGUCGGCUGAAGGCGGCAGCGGCGGACAUGGGGCGUUGUCGUCUCAGUGCCAGGAACGGUUUGCUUCGGCCUCGUCUUUCCGUGGCAGCGGAGUUUGUAGAACAGGCUGUACAUGAGGAAGAUUUUUUAAUCCCCCCUCUCACACACACUCCUUUAAAAAUGAGCACAAGUAGACAGGCCACGUUGGGCCGCAACCUUUUUCUGGUGUGCUAACUUGUUGCUUACAGAGAGAGUCUUUAAUGCAGAAAAACAUUAUUAAUCGGUGAUAUCUGAAGUGGCUGGCUCCAUCGCUUUUGACUAAGUCUGGCUUUUUUUGGAUCAUGAAUCUCAAGUGUCGUUUAUGGGCAUGCUGUGUGCGACCUGCUUGUUUGGGAUGGCGUAUGAAUUACUUCUAGAGGCAAGGCCAGGAAAUGUGAAUUCACUUCGGCGGAAGAGUUGGGAGUGUUUAAAGUUGGCGGUAAACUCAAAUUUGCCCGAUUUCCUCUCUAUAAAUUGAGAUGUAGGCUUUAAUAGUUCCUUUCAUCAGAUGCUGAAAAUGGAGUCUAAAAUCCUGUUUAUAUCCAGUGGCUUCAUUAUCUUUUACGUUGGACUGUCUUGUAUUUUUAGCCAGCAAGGUUUAGUUACUGUUUGCUGAGUACCAUCAAGAUGCCUUUUUGUUCACUAAGAUAAUGUGAAUAUCUUGAUUGUGCGCCUAGCAGACAUCAGAUGUAUUCAGACAUCUGACUGUCACAUUCUUCUUGCUCAUAACUGUGAACGCUUGGAGUGUGAGGCUGGCAAGAAGAGAUUUAACAGAACCGUUGUUGCUUCCUGAGUGAACUUCAUUUAUGACUUUAAAAUAAUAUGUUUGUUGUGGCUGGAAAUAAUUUCUACAGCAAGAUGUUGUGAAUCCAACUUUAGCAUUGUCUGUCCUAAGAGAAUUUCCCCCCAAAGGCAUGAAAAAAUGAUUUGCUAUACACUUUGUUUGAUUUAACACAUUAAUAAUCCAAGUUCAUUUUGGUUUUGCAUGAAAAUUAGGUCUUAGGGGAAGUGGGAAUAGUGUACCCUUAUGGGAAUUUCUUCAUCUCUCCCUCCUCUCCCUGCCAACUUUCUACAUCCUGGUUUCAAUAGCAGAAAUACCAUUCUGCAAUAGCAGAAAAUGGAUCUGCAUUAUUCUUCUCUAUUGAAUGAAAUUACUGAUAAACAUAGACAUUUUUGAACAGGGCUUUUAUUUCUCUACAUGCUAAAAAUAAAGUUCUUAGGAUGAAAUACUGUUACUAGAAUAAAAUAUUAGUCAAUGUUUUUUUA